CUAUUUUGAAGUGCUGAUUUGAUUGAACAGGGUUUGCAAUAAUCAGGCCUGUUUGCAUCUAGUCCAGCUGAACACCAUUAUGAAUGCAGUUUCAUAGUUUUGAGGUAUUAAUAACUAUGUGGGCAGAUAUAUUUUCAAACAGACCCAGUUGGUAUUGGAUAUCUUUUUUGCUACACUUAAUAACAUUAUCAUUUAAAACUGUGUGUUGUGUUUACUCAGGUUGCCUUUGUGUCACGAUGGAGAGGCAGAAAUGGAUGCAAGUGCAGUUUACACAGUUAAACAAUGUCCAGCAAACAAUUCCGAAUAGAAAGGAUGAUUCAGAGUCAAGGCAGGCACAAAGGGUCAAGCGAUCAGCAAACAGGAUACCAAAGGCGAACCAGAAUACAAAAACCAUGAUACCAGCAAAGUCAAACACCAGAAAAUAAAGAUUUUUAACAGCAUGAUGAGGACUCGCUUGAGCUGCACAUGGUGCUGCUGGAACUGGAGGAUAUGGAGAAACAGAUCCGUGGCCUACUCGACAAGCAGGCCCAGCUGCUGGAGUGAAGAACUGUGCUGGAAACAUCUUGUGCUUCUGCCUACACAUCCAAGGUAAGCACGCAGCAUGGUAUUACCACUCCCAGGCUCUCUACGCCAUGUGUUUCUCUGUGCAGGGACCGUGCACCCAAGACCCAAGCAGCGAAAGGUGAGAGCCAUACCCUGGGCGAGGACCUCUCCACCUCUGGUGUUAGAGAUCCUAACCAGGAACCACUUCACCCCUCUCCGUCAGACCAGACCAAACGCUGUGAUCAUUUGGGACUCCAUUGUGCGAAACGUCCGUGUCGCUUUAACAAAGGGUAAGGUGCACACACAUUGUUUUUCUGGUGCUAUUGUCCUUGAUGUCACUGCAAAGGUACCCGGGAUCCUGAAGAAGGACGAGUGGUCGUGCUGCACGCGGGGGCAAAUGACAUCAGGCUGCGGCAGAUGGAGGUUCUGAAGAGGGACUUCGCCAGCCUGAUUGAGACGGUACGAGGCAGAUCAACCACCAUGAAGAUCAUCGUCUCUGGAGCUCUUCCCACAUAGACGUGGAGCUGAAAAGUUCAGUAGACUUCUUGCUUUGAAUGACUGGUUAGUUUCUUGGUGUAAUGAACAGAAUCUGCUGUUUGUUAAUAACUGGAAUCUGUUCUGGGAGCGACCUAGGUUGUUUUGUCCUGAUGGCCUGCACCCCAGCAGCCUUGGAACGGAACUGCUGUCAGACAACAUCUCCAAGAUGCUACACACCAAG
ensembl:lncRNA